rnacentral:rRNA from 1 species
UAAGACGGAAGGUGCAAGCGUUGCUCGGAAUCAUUGGGCGUAAAGGGUGCGUAGGCGGCUUGGUCAGUCUGGUGUGAAAGCCCCGGGCUUAGCCCGGGAAGGGCGCUAGAAACUGCCGAGCUGGAGUGCCGGAGGGGAGAGUGGAAUUCCUGGUGUAGCGGUGAAAUGCGUAGAGAUCAGGAGGAAUACCGGUGGCGAAAGCGACUCUCUGGACGGCAACUGACGCUGAGGCACGAAAGCGUGGGGAGCAAACAGGAUUAGAUACCCUGGUAGUCCACGCCGUAAACGAUGGGCACUAGGUGUCGGGGGUAACCACUCCCUCGGUGCCGCCGCUAACGCAUUAAGUGUCCCGCCUGGGAAGUACGGUCGCAAGAUUA